GACAGAGGCCUCGAGCGUUAGGCGGAAUCACUGGGCUUAAAGCGUGUGUAGGCGGGCCCGUAAGUGUCUUGUGAAAUCCCACGGCUCAACCGUGGAACUGCUGGGCAUACUGCGGGUCUUGGGCCAACUAGGGGCAGCCGGAACAAGCGGUGGAGCGGUGAAAUGCGUAGAUAUCGCUUGGAACGCCGAAGGUGAAAACAGGCUGCUGGGCUGCGCCGACGCUGAGACACGAAAGCCAGGGGAGCAAACGGG
rnacentral:rRNA from 1 species